UUCACAUCGUUACACAGGGGAAGAGGAGGGAAGAAUUUACCUGUAGCAGCUGUUCUAGAGACAAAACCGAAAAAAAUGGCAAUAUUUCCUGAGCUCUGGUUUGACUAUUUCCCAUCAAACUGAGAGGAAUUGCUGCUGAAGUGUCAAGCAGCAGACCAUCUAGGCUAGCAAAACACAGAGACACUAAACAAAAGGCCAGAAUCUCACGUGCCUGUACCACUGCUGUCUGAGGAAGCAUCUUCUAAGAUCCCAGUGCUGUGCCAGCCCUGCCUAAUGAAGUUCAGAGGAAAAACAGUUGACUUCUCUUAGGU
rnacentral:lncRNA from 1 species